rnacentral:rRNA from 1 species
GACGAACGCUGGCGGCGUGCUUAACACAUGCAAGUCGAACGGAAAGGCCCUGCUUUUGUGGGGUGCUCGAGUGGCGAACGGGUGAGUAACACGUGAGUAACCUGCCCUUGACUUUGGGAUAACUUCAGGAAACUGGGGCUAAUACCGGAUAGGAGCUCCUGCUGCAUGGUGGGGGUUGGAAAGUUUCGGCGGUUGGGGAUGGACUCGCGGCUUAUCAGCUUGUUGGUGGGGUAGUGGCUUACCAAGGCUUUGACGGGUAGCCGGCCUGAGAGGGUGACCGGCCACAUUGGGACUGAGAUACGGCCCAGACUCCUACGGGAGGCAGCAGUGGGGAAUAUUGCACAAUGGGCGGAAGCCUGAUGCAGCAACGCCGCGUGCGGGAUGACGGCCUUCGGGUUGUAAACCGCUUUCGCCUGUGACGAAGCGUGAGUGACGGUAAUGGGUAAAGAAGCACCGGCUAACUACGUGCCAGCAGCCGCGGUGAUACGUAGGGUGCGAGCGUUGUCCGGAUUUAUUGGGCGUAAAGGGCUCGUAGGUGGUUGAUCGCGUCGGAAGUGUAAUCUUGGGGCUUAACCCUGAGCGUGCUUUCGAUACGGGUUGACUUGAGGAAGGUAGGGGAGAAUGGAAUUCCUGGUGGAGCGGUGGAAUGCGCAGAUAUCAGGAGGAACACCAGUGGCGAAGGCGGUUCUCUGGGCCUUUCCUGACGCUGAGGAGCGAAAGCGUGGGAGCGAACAGGCUUAGAUACCCUGGUAGUCCACGCUGUAAACGGUGGGUACUAGGCGUGGGGUCCAUUCCACGGGUUCCGUGCCGUAGCUAACGCUUUAAGUACCCCGCCUGGGGAGUACGGCCGCAAGGCUAAAACUCAAAGGAAUUGACGGGGCCCCGCACAAGCGGCGGAGCAUGCGGAUUAAUUCGAUGCAACGCGUAGAACCUUACCUGGGUUUGACAUGGAUCGGGAGCGCUCAGAGAUGGGUGUGCCUCUUUUGGGGUCGGUUCACAGGUGGUGCAUGGCUGUCGUCAGCUCGUGUCGUGAGAUGUUGGGUUAAGUCCCGCAACGAGCGCAACCCUUGUUCACUGUUGCCAGCACGUUAUGGUGGGGACUCAGUGGAGACCGCCGGGGUCAACUCGGAGGAAGGUGGGGAUGACGUCAAGUCAUCAUGCCCCUUAUGUCCAGGGCUUCACGCAUGCUACAAUGGCUGGUACAGAGAGUGGCGAGCCUGUGAGGGUGAGCGAAUCUCGGAAAGCCGGUCUCAGUUCGGAUUGGGGUCUGCAACUCGACCUCAUGAAGUCGGAGUCGCUAGUAAUCGCAGAUCAGCAACGCUGCGGUGAAUACGUUCCCGGGGCU